rnacentral:rRNA from 1 species
CUACGGGAGGCAGCAGUGAGGAAUCUUCCGCAAUGGGCGAAAGCCUGACGGAGCGACACCGCGUGAAGGAUGACACCCUUUUUGGGCGUAAACUUCUGUUCUGAGGGAACAAAUUUUGAGGGUACCUCAGGAGAAAGCACCGGCUAAUUCCGUGCCAGCAGCCGCGUAAGACGGAAGGUGCGAGCGUUACUCGGAAUCACUGGGCGUAAAGCGUCUGUAGGCUCCUUUGUAAGUCUGGUGUCAAAGCGCAGAGCUCAACUCUGCGUCUGUACCGGAAACUGCAAAGGUAGAGCAACUCAGGGGCACCUGGAAUGCUGUGAGUAGGGGUUAAAUCCGUUGAUACACAGUGGAACGCUAAAAGCGAAAGCAGGGUGCUGGGAGUUCGCUGACGCUGAGAGACGAAAGCGUGGGUAGCGAACGGGAUUAGAUACCCGCGUAGUC